AUUGAACGCUGGCGGCAUGCCUUACACAUGCAAGUCGAACGGUAACAGGUCUUCGGAUGCUGACGAGUGGCGAACGGGUGAGUAAUACAUCGGAACGUGCCCGAGAGUGGGGGAUAACGGAGCGAAAGCUUUGCUAAUACCGCAUACGAUCUCAGGAUGAAAGCAGGGGACCGCAAGGCCUUGCGCUCACGGAGCGGCCGAUGGCAGAUUAGGUAGUUGGUGGGAUAAAAGCUUACCAAGCCGACGAUCUGUAGCUGGUCUGAGAGGACGACCAGCCACACUGGGACUGAGACACGGCCCAGACUCCUACGGGAGGCAGCAGUGGGGAAUUUUGGACAAUGGGCGCAAGCCUGAUCCAGCCAUGCCGCGUGCAGGAUGAAGGCCUUCGGGUUGUAAACUGCUUUUGUACGGAACGAUAAGACUCUGGUUAAUACCUGGGGUCCAUGACGGUACCGUAAGAAUAAGCACCGGCUAACUACGUGCCAGCCGCCGCCGUAA
rnacentral:rRNA from 1 species